AAACUUGAGAAGAAGAUGAUCGAACCCUCCCUCUCCUCCGCAGAGAAAUCAUAAUCUCUCUCUCUCUCUCUCUCUCUCUCUCUCUCCAUGAAAGCAAAACAUCUUCGAGAAAAUUCCCCAAACCCUAAUCAAUUCCACUCGUUGACUCUCUCUUUGUCACUGUCCAAAUCAAUGGACUGAUUGACACAGAGAGAGAGAGAGACAUGGACACCAAGGUCCAGACUUUGCCCCCAAUCACUUCUCUCUCUCCCUCAGUCCUCUCCUUCCUCCACCACAAACUCCUCUCCACAGAUCAACUCCACCGAGCUUCCACUCUCGUAUCGGAGCUCCACACUCGCUGCUUCGAUUUGGACCAAAGCCUCACAGAUCUCAACCAUCGUCUCGAAUCCACCCUCCUCUCUUACGCUUCGUAUUCUGAUCGAAUCGAUGCUCUCUACGCCAACAUCAAUUCCAAAUUAACCCAUCUCCGUUCUUCUACUCGCAUUUCCGAUGGAUUGGGGAGAUCGGAGCAGAUAUUGGCGGAGGAGCUACCGUCGCUUGCGAAGGAAGUCGCGAGGGUUGAGACGGUUCGAAUGUAUGCCGAGACAGCAUUAAAGCUUGAUACUUUGGUUGGUGAUAUUGAAGAUGCAGUAUCUUCCACAAUAAACAGAAACCUAAGGAAGCAUUCUUCCACACAGAAUUCAGAAUCUCUGCAGGAUGUGCGUUUGCUUGCUAUUAAUUCACUCAGACUAACUGAAGAUGUUCUAGCUUCAGUUACAAAAACACGUUCUCAGUGGGCACAUCUAGUUUCAGCUGUUGAUCACAGAGUAGAUCGAGCAUUAGCCAUUUUAAGGCCCCAGGCAAUUGCAGAUCACAGGGCCCUUCUUACUUCACUUGGAUGGCCACCACCUUUGUCCAUGUCGAAUUCCUCAGAUUCAGAUGCAAGGAAACCAGCUGAAGUGCAAAAUCCUCUUUUUACAAUGCAAGGGGUCCUCAAGCAUCAGUACUGUGAAAAUUUUAUUGCAUUAUGCUGCCUGCAGGAAUUGCAGAGACGAAGAAAAUCUCGGCAACUAGCGGGGCAUAAUAGGGAAGUUGCCCUGCACCAGCCACUUUGGUCUAUUGAGGAGCUGGUGAACCCUUUAGCAAUUGCAUCCCAACGCCAUUUCUCAAAGUGGGUUGAUAAGCCAGAAUUCAUGUUUGCUCUUGUAUAUAAGAUUACUCGGGAUUAUGUAGACUCCAUGGAUGAGUUGUUGCAACCCCUAGUUGAUGAAGCGAUGCUAUCAGGUUACAGUUGCAGAGAAGAAUGGAUUUCAGCAAUGGUGUCCUCCCUAUCAACAUACUUAGCAAAGGAAAUAUUUCCCAUAUAUGUUGGUCAGCUUGAAGAAGAGAGUGUCACCAGUGGUCGCUCCCAGGGUAGAAUAGCCUGGCUUCAUCUUGUUGACUUGAUGAUUAGCUUUGAUAAAAGAGUACAAUCUCUGGUAGCACAGAUGGGAAUCUUGCCUUCCUUCCAAGAAGAUGGAAAGAAAAUUUCUUCUCUAUCUGUAUUUUGUGAUCGACCUGAUUGGCUUGAUUUGUGGGCAGAGAUAGAGAUUACUGACAUGUUUGAUAAGUUAAAGCCUGAGAUGGAGAAUGAGAGAAACUGGUCAACCAAAAUUGAGGGAGGAGUUGUCUCUGGUUCAGAAGAUUAUAAAUCUCCUGCAAUUUCCAGCGCUUUUCUUCGGCGCUUAUCAUCUGUGGUUGAUCGUUCUCGAUCAGUGCCAACCAUUUAUUUAAGGUCAAGGUUUAUCCGAUUGGCUGGUGUACCUCUUGUACGCAAAUUUUUGGAUUGUUUAUUUCUCAGAUGCCAAGAAGCCGAGGGCCUGACAGCCCUGACUGAUGAUGAUGCUCUAAUCAAAGUUACAAAAUCCAUUAAUGCUGGUCGCUAUUUUGAGUCCGUUUUGAAGGAAUGGUGUGAAGAUGUCUUUUUUCUGGAGAUGGGAUUGAACCAUAGCGAUCAAUUGGCCAUACCAGUCAGUGAGGGUGGUUUAAUAGGAGAGGCAAAUGAACCUGGGACUGGUAUUUUUGAUGCGGAAAUUGAGAAGCUGGGAGAGUUCAGAACAGAAUGGGUUGAGAAGUUAUCUACUGUUGUUUUGAGAGGAUUUGAUGCUCGCUGUCGAGAUUAUAUUAAGAACAAGAAGCAAUGGCAAGAAAAGGGUGAAGAAGGCUGGGCAGUAUCUAAACAGUUCAUUGCAGCGCUUGAUUAUCUGCAAGGAAAAAUGUCGGUUUUAGAAGAGGGUUUGAAUGGGGUGGACUUCGUUGGGGUUUGGAGAAGGUUGGCAACCAGCGUGGAUCGUUUGCUUUUUAAUGGUAUUCUUAUGAGCAAUGGGAAGUUUCAUGAUGGGGGUGUUGAGAGACUUGGUAGUGAUUUGGCUGUUUUGUUUGGAGUAUUUGAGGCUUGGUGUUUGAGGCCUGAAGGGUUCUUCCCCAAAGUGAGUGAGGGCUUGAAGUUGUUGAAAAUGAGGGAAAAUCAACUUAAAGAUAGUUUGGAAGGUGGGGAGAGAUGGUUGAAGGAAAAUGGGAUACGGCAUUUGACUGUCAACGAGGAAGAAAAGAUCGUAAAGAAUAGGGUAUACAUAAAGUGAGAAAUUCAAGGAUAGCACUUCAUUUACAUUACUCUCUGCAAAGGGAAAACAAGCUUAUUAGAAAUUAGUGAGUUUAGUUCAGAUAUGUUGCAGCUGGAGGGGUGCUGUGCAUUGCUCUGGAGUCCCAAAACGACUGACUCAAUUUUUUACGCUGCCUCUAGGUUUCAUUUGGAAGAAUUAAUUGAUCGCUCCAACCACAUUAACAAAUAAAUUUUGAGAAUAUAGAUUCUGAGAACAGAACAGUUUGAAGUUAGAUUUUCCUUCCGAGUCUAUUUGGAGAGCCAUGAUGACACACCGCAAUUGGGAACCAAUUAGGGCUAUAUCCUAUCUGAGUAGUGUACUUGAACAAGUACAGGCAAAAACGUCACCACAUGGUUCUUUCUAGCAUUGGAUCGGGAAGGGAGGCAUAAGACAGAAGAUGGGACAAGGUGAGGAUAAAAUGAUGCUAACUUUAUUUUUGUCCCCUUCAUUUUGGGUCUUCUUUGAGCAAUAUAUGGUAUAUGCCGACGUGAACUUCGGUUUGAUUCAUCACUUUCUUUGCAUUUUGAGCUUGAAAUUAAUAUCAGAGAACAUUUGUAAAGUGAUCAUAUCUAUUUGGAUAUUUACACUGGAUAAAUUAUACUGAAUUCUCUCAA